GGCGAGGUUUCCGCGGCUGGUGCCCGGCCUCGACUUCAAAUCGAGUGUGGAUCGCGUCGCCGCGCUCCAGGCGGGUUCGAUUCCCGUCCCUCGCCGCCA
rnacentral:tRNA from 1 species